rnacentral:rRNA from 1 species
UUGGAGGGCAAGUCUGGUGCCAGCAGCCGCGGUAAUUCCAGCUCCAAUAGCGUAUAUUAAAGUUGUUGCAGUUAAAAAGCUCGUAGUUGAAUUUCGGGGUCAGUAGGUUGGUCAUGCCACUGGUAUGUACUGGUCUCACUGAUUCCUCCUUCCUGAUGAACUGUAAUGCCAUUAAUUUGGUGUUGCAGGGAAUCUGGACUGUUACUUUGAAAAAAUUAGAGUGUUUAAAGCAGGCUAACGCCUGAAUACAUUAGCAUGGAAUAAUGAAAUAGGACGUUCGAUCCUAUUUUGUUGGUUUCUAGGAUUGACGUAAUGAUUAAUAGGGAUAGUUGGGGGCAUUAGUAUUCAAUUGUCAGAGGUGAAAUUCUUGGAUUUAUUGAAGACUAACUACUGCGAAAGCAUUUGCCACGGAUGUUUUCAUUAAUCAAGAACGAAAGUUAGGGGAUCGAAGACGAUCAGAUACCGUCGUAGUCUUAACCAUAAACUAUGCCGACUAGGGAUCGGACGAUGCUAACCUUUAUUGACUCGUUCGGCGCCUUACGGGAAAC